AUGCUGUUCCUCGUGCUGGAAUGCCUCGACCCGCCUUCCUCAUCCUUCCAGUGCCCCUCCCUGGAAGGCCCACCUUCUCAUAGCAGGGUGGUGCCGCCUGUGGUGUGUCCAACGGACCUACGGGGAUCCACAUUCACAAGUGGUGUGUCCGGCAGACCUACGGGGAUCCACGUUCACAAGUGGUGUGUCCGGCAGACCUACAGGGAUCCACGUUCACAAGUAGUGUGUGUGUCCAACAGACCUACGGGGAUCCACAUUCACAAGUGGUAUGUCCAGCAGACCCACGGACCUACGGGGAUCCACAUUCACAAGGGGUGUGUCCAGCAGACCUACGGGGAUCCACAUUCACAAGUGGUGUGUCCGGCAGACCUGCGGGGAUCCACGUUCACAAGUGGUGUCUCGGGCAGACCUACGGGAAUCCACAUUCACAAGUGGUGUGUCCGGCAGACCUGCGGGGAUCCACGUUCACAAGUGGUGUCUCGGGCAGACCUGCGGGGAUCCACGUUCACAAGGGGUGUGUCGGGCAGACCGUUGAGGAUCCCCAGCUUUCAGAAGGCUGGUGCAUGUGCUUUUAGUCAUUCUUGUGAGCCUUGGCGUCCAGUUUUUUUCCCGGGGCUCCAUGACCUGGGCAGAACUGGUUGGCUGAUUGCUCAGGUACUGCAUGGCCAGCCCCUGCUCCAUAUCCUGUCGUUAGCUGAGGACAAGCCCUCUUUUUGGGCAAAGUUAAAUGCUUGCCUUCCUUCCUGUCACCGUCUCUUCUGGUGCCGCUGCUCCUGGAGGAGCCCUGGCGCAGUGAGGGGAUCUCAGGCCUCCACAUUAUUGAGAAAUGAAGAGCUCGAGGGGAUCAAGAAGGAGACUGGCCUUUCCCACUGUCAGACUACCCCUCUACAGCUGUUCACCAGUCUGGACAAAGGAGAGAACGGGGUGAUUUCAGAGGAUUCCAGAACUUGUUAUCAACCCAGUAGGGGACUGAGUCAUCAGUGCCUUCUUGCCAGAGGGAGAGGACCAGGUAAACUCCGUGGGUUCCUGUGAACUUUGGCUUAUAUCUGAACCAUUGAGGAUAAUGAAGAGGGCAAAGACAUGAAUGGACCUGAACCACUCAAUAGCCAACAAACAGCACUUUGCUUCUGGACUAUAUGAGUUGGAUAAAGAUGACAAGAUCUCGCGUGAUGAGCUGUUACAGGUGCCAUGCAUGAUGGUCCGAGUAAAUAUCUCAGAUGAACAGCUGAGCAGCAUCGCAGACAGGACCAUUCGGGAGGCCGAUCAGCAUGGGGACAGUGAUGUAUCUUUAUCACAGACUUUGCUAAGGUUUUGGAGAAGGUUGAUGUGGAGCAGAAAAUGAGCGUUCCAUUUCUUCACUAAAGGACGGACAGCACACUGUUCCUUGUGGCCUAGUAUUUAAGAACUGGAACUUGACAGUCCUCCUGUCCACCAGUCCCAGCCCCACUCCUUCAUUCCCUUUCUCCCAAAGUGCUACUGCUGUUCUUGACAACCCCAAGUAUGUUCUGUCAACACAAACCUGCCUUUGGUCUAGAAACGGAAUUACAGAAUGGUACACCCAGUCGAUUUCUGUUCCAUAUCCAUUCACCAGUUCUUCAUUUACAAAUACCAUCUUUCUGUGUUCUGCUGCUGAAUGCCACACAUCCAUCAAGUCUGAGAAAGUAAGAUGGGGAAUCAUGCUGAGGAACAAGCCAGUAAAGCUCUUUCACUGGAUGCAGACUGCACCCGUGCUGCCUUCCCUCUGGCGAGUUCGCCAGCAUGCAUCCUUUUUAUAUGUCCUUUGCUUCCUACUUCUGUGUCAUUCAGCAUACUGUUCACCGAGUCAUGCAGUCUUUCUGCUUUUCGUAAGGCUCAAAGUCUCCUCUGUUCUACUUGGCACCCCAGGCUAUGCCUGGUAUAUGUAUUUCUGACUUGGCAGGAUAGUUUGGUGGUGUGGUAGUUUUUAUCUACCUUCAUUAUUCAGUGGGCCUCUGGGAUGUUGCCUCUCCAGGAGCUUUUUGGUAACCAACACUUCUCCCAGGAGCACGAGAUCAUCCUCUACUCUCUGCCUUGUCAUCAAAGGGCUGCUGGGUGGAGAUAUUCUUGGAAGGUGGCCUUGGUGAGAGGUAUCGAGUCAAGUCUUCUAGGUUGCUUGCCCACGUCACUCUACCUCUGGUCUCUAAUUCUCAACUCUGUACCUAUGUGGCUCCUCUUGUUGGUGCAGUGUUGGCUCUUCAAAAAGUAGCAAUAUGCCUGCAGGUUUACUUAGUUUUGGGACACCGUUACCACCAGAACGGCUGGUCUAACAAUAUGCUUGGGGACUUUCUCAUGGCUGUUUGAACAAGGAGGCUAGGCACCCUGUACACCCUCCUGCUUUCGCACCUCUGCAGCAUGGUUUAUGCCUCAGUGUUAUGUACACUGGAAUGCUUUUCACUUUACGUUUCCAAGUUAGAAAGGUUAGUGUUACGGAAGUGCCUAACUUAUCCCAGUCCAACAUAUUUAAAGAUUGUUCUCUGUGUCUUGAAGUUUUGCACAAAAUUCUUUAUGAAUUUUACACUUGGCAGAUGUUAAUGCUGGAAGCGAUAGUCAGCUCCUAAUGCAUGAUGGUUUUGUCAUUAGCUCCCUAGUUACGUUAGUUCCCCAGCUCCUUGUGUAGACCACUGCUAAUCCCUUAGAAACGAGUUCUGGCACUAGUAGCACAACCUCAGUGGCAUUACAAGUGUUUGAGCAAACCACAGCAACUUUCCUGCCAAAGUCAGCUUAGUUUAGACUUCCAUGAAUCGGGCUGUUGCCAUCCUAAUGUAUGUCUCUGUGAGUCUGUUCAUUCACAUAUCUGCCCUUGGCUUUCUUGACUCAUUGCUUGCUUGCUUGUUUCCUUGCUUUGGAAACUAUUGAAGCUGUGUACAUAAUUCUUUAGGAAGGGGAUUGCUAAAAAAUACCACUGCAAAGCAAUGGAAAAAGGUGGAGAACAGGGAAGUAGCCAGGCUGGAUGGCUCAAAUAGAAAUGAACGAGGAAUUCUUUGUGAAGUAUCAGUUGGACUUUGUGAUCGAGUGAUGUAGUAUAGGAAUUGUAUAAAAGGGAAAGAUAUCUUAUACUGAUCUGUUAGAAAGAUACUUCAGAGGCUCGUUGAUUUUCAUAUUUAAAGUUCCUAAGAUUAUAGCUUUUCCCCUCUUUUGGCUGUAUAGCAGACUGAUUUAAUCCACAGUUGUGCCUUACUGUUCCAUUAAAAUUGUAUCUUCAGUCCAUCAGUAAAUACCUGUGGU